UUCGAUGUUAUCAAUAUACCAUAGACAGUAACGGCGUAACAGCUUAAUCAUGUUACCGAGGUAGAAAGCAAGUAGAUAAAACUUUCACCCGUAGACUGUCCAGUUUGCGGGUGUUUUAUAUCACUCU
rfam:Eubacterium sp. 3_1_31 genomic scaffold supercont1.3, whole genome shotgun sequence.